UCCACUACAUAAGCCUUCUAGAACACUAAGAUCUUCUGAGACCAAUCUGUUAAUUAUCCCCAGAGUAAACACGAAACAUGGGAAAGCAGGAUUUAGUUACUAUGCAACAAAUAGCUGGAAUAAACUCCCUGAGGAUUUAAGACUUGCCCCAACUCUGAGCACCUUUAAAACAAGAUUGAAGACUUUUAUGUUUGCUUUAGCUUUCUGCUAAAUCUUAAAUACUUUACCUUUAUUUUACUAAAAUGCCUUUUUAACUUUCCCUUUAUUUUCUAUUUUUACCAGAAAAAUACAUGAUCUGAUACCAGAGAGAAAGGUUGUAUAAGGGUUAGAGUCCUGAGUUUGUUUGUCCUUUUGGUCUGGGCUAGAGUCCUAGAAGCUGGGUUAGAGUCCUAGAAUUUGUUGAAUAAGGCCUUUGGUCUGGGCUAGAGUCCUAGAAGCUGGGUUAGAGUCCUAGAAUAAGAAUAAGGCCUUUGGUCUGGGCUAGAGUCCUAGAAGCUGGGUUAGAGUCCUAGAAUAUUUUCCUUUAGGUCGGGUUGUAGUCCCGACUUGGGUUCCAGAGAGACUGUUGAUCUGAUCUUAAAUACAUUGCACUUUCAAUUUUACUUACUAAAAAGCCUUUUUAACUUUCAAUUUAAUUUUCUCUUAAAUACAUUGCACUUUCUAUUUUA